GUAUCAGCUCUCUGUGUCAAAUUCACAUCUUACUUCUUUGUGUUCUACAAACACUCUUCUACAUUUUGACUGACUACGCUGUGAUUUACAUGUAAAUUACAAAGGGUACUGGACACUUUAACCACAUUAAUAAAAGUUGUUUGUUUGCUAGAGAGAGUAUUGAUUGUGUGGGAUACUAGG